rnacentral:rRNA from 1 species
GACGAACGCUGGCGGCGUGCCUAAUACAUGCAAGUUGAGCGCUGAAGGUUGGUACUUGUCCCAACUGGAUGAGCAGCGAACGGGUGAGUAACGCGUGGGGAAUCUGCCUUUGAGCGGGGGACAACAUUUGGAAACGAAUGCUAAUACCGCAUAAAAACUUUAAACACAAGUUUUAAGUUUGAAAGAUGCAAUUGCAUCACUCAAAGAUGAUCUCGCGUUGUAUUAGCUAGUUGGUGAGGUAAAGGCUCACCAAGGCGAUGAUACAUAGCCGACCUGAGGGGGUGAUGGCCCACAUUGGAACUGAGCCCGGCCCCAAACUCCUAGGGGGGGCAGCGGUGGGAAAUCUUCGGCAAUGAAGGAAGGUCGAACGGGGCACGGCGGGGGAGGGGAGGAGGGUUUUGGGUCGGUAAAACCCGGUUGGAGGGAAGGACGGUGGGUGGGGUUGAAAGGCCAUUCAGUGACGGUAACUACACAGAAAGGGACGGCUAACUACGUG